AGAAGAGGCAGAUCUCCUCACUGUCAAAAUGUAAGAAUCGCUUAAUUCAAAGGGGAUCCCCACGUCCAGGAGAAAAACAAGUGAGUUCUGCACAAAGCACACAAACUAAUAACUCUUCUUUUAGUGUCUAAAAAGUGGAGAACGAAGACGACACUUUUCAUGGGACAAACUUGACAAAUGGAGGAUUAUAUUCAUAAACCAGGCUUAAUACUACCGUCAUCGUCAUUGCUUUCUUCUGCUUAUUUGGAUCCAGGUCGCUGGGGCAGCAGCUUCAGGAGGGAAGUCCAGACGGCCUUCACUUCGGCCACUUCCACCAGCUCCUCCGGGGGGAUUCCCAGGCGCUCCCAGGCCAGGCGAGAGAUAUAAUCCCUCCACCUGGCCUUGGGCCGGCCACGAGGUCUCCUCCCGGUGAGACAUGUCCAGAACACCUCUAA